rnacentral:rRNA from 1 species
UACAGAGGGGGCAAGCGUUGUUCGGAAUUACUGGGCGUAAAGGGCGCGUAGGCGGCCCGCUAAGUCGAACGUGAAAUCCCCGAGCUCAACUCGGGAACUGCGUCCGAUACUGGCGGGCUUGAAUCCGGGAGAGGGAUGCGGAAUUCCAGGUGUAGCGGUGAAAUGCGUAGAUAUCUGGAGGAACAUCAGUUGCGAAGGCGGCUCUCUGGACCAGCACUGACACUGAGGCACGAAAGCGUGGGGAGCAAACAGG